GACGAACGCUGGCGGCGUGCCUAAUACAUGCAAGUCGAACGCAGUGGGGACGGGUGAGUAACACGUGGGUAACCUCCCAUCAGAGGGGAUAACACUUGGAAACAGGUGCUAAACCGAUACUGAUGGAUGGACCCGCGGUGCAUUAGCUAGUUGGUGAGGUAACGGCUCACCAAGGCCACGAUGCAUAGCCGACCGGGAAGGGUGACCGACAGCACUGGGACUGAGACAGGGCCCAGCCUCCUGAGGAGGGCAGCGGUGGGGAAUAUUCAGCAAUGGAGGAAGGUCUGACCGAGCAACGCGGGGUUGGUGAGGAAGGUUUUGGGAUCGUAAGACUCUGUUGUCAGGAAGGCGGUAUCUAACCAGAAAGCCACGGCUAACUACGUGCCAGCAGCCGCGGUAAUAC
rnacentral:rRNA from 1 species